CCUACGGGUGGCUGCAGUGAGGAAUAUUGGUCAAUGGACGAGAGUCUGAACCAGCCAAGUAGCGUGAAGGAUGACUGCCCUAUGGGUUGUAAACUUCUUUUAUAUGGGAAUAAAACGUUGCACGUGUGGGAUUUUGUAUGUACCAUAUGAAUAAGGAUCGGCUAACUCCGUGCCAGCAGCCGCGGUAAUACGGAGGAUCCGAGCGUUAUCCGGAUUUAUUGGGUUUAAAGGGAGCGUAGGUGGAUUGUUAAGUCAGUUGUGAAAGUUUGCGGCUCAACCGUAAAAUUGCAGUUGAUACUGGCAGUCUUGAGUACAGUAGAGGUGGGCGGAAUUCGUGGUGUAGCGGUGAAAUGCUUAGAUAUCACGAAGAACUCCGAUUGCGAAGGCAGUUCACUGAACUGCAACUGACACUGAGGCUCGAAAGUGUGGGUAUCAAACAGGAUUAGAUACCCCUGUAGUC
rnacentral:rRNA from 1 species